rnacentral:rRNA from 1 species
GACGAACCGUGCGAACGUUAUUCGGAAUCACUGGGCUUAAAGCGCGUGUAGGCGGGACGGCACGUCGGUCGCUGAAAGCCCCCGGCUCAACCGGGGAAGGGGCGCCGAUACGACCGUCCUGGAGGGACGUAGGGGGACCUGGAACUUCCGGUGGAGCGGUGAAAUGCGUUGAGAUCGGAAGGAACGCCCGUGGCGAAAGCGAGGUCCUGGACGUUUUUCUGACGCUGAGACGCGAAAGCCAGGGGAGCGAACGGG